CAGAGGGUGCGAGCGUUGUUCGGAAUUACUGGGCGUAAAGCGCGCGCAGGCGGCUUUUUAAGUCUGACGGUGAAAUGCCGGGGCUCAACCCCGUGCCCGCCGCGGAUACUGGGAGGCUGGAGACGAGUAGAGGCAAGCGGAAUUCCGGGUGUAGCGGUGGAAUGCGUAGAGAUCCGGAAGAACACCGGAGGCGAAGGCGGCUUGCUGGGCUCGGUCUGACGCUGAGGCGCGAAAGCGUGGGGAGCGAACAGGAUUAGAUACCCUGGUAGUCCACGCCGUAAACGAUGGGCACUAGACGCUGGUGGGAUCGACCCCUUCGGUGUCGCAGCUAACGCGAUAAGUGCCCCGCCUGGGGAGUACGGCCGCAAGGCUG
rnacentral:rRNA from 1 species